rnacentral:rRNA from 11 species
UGUAACUGCCAAAAUACUUCAAUGACAGCAGACUCGGUCUGAUCUUUGAAGCUAAGCAGGGUCGUUUCUAGUUAAUACUUCAAUGGGAGCCUGCCAAUGAAUCCCAGAUACAUUCCCAU